rnacentral:tRNA from 1 species
GCCUGGCUGGCUCGGUUGGUAGAGCACGUGACUCUUGAUCUCAGGGUCGUGAGUUGGAGCCCCACGUUAGGUG